rnacentral:pre_miRNA from 1 species
UGAAAAUAACAACAGCGGAAGAACCUUCUUCCGUGCGAUCUCACAGAAGAAUCUUGUUCUGUGCGAAUCCACGGAAGAAGGUUCUUCCGCUAUUGUUAUUUUC